AGGUAAGUUGUGAUCUUAAGGAGUUGGCAUGGGCACAGAUCCAGGGGAGACCAAAGGCAAGCAGAUGAUGAUGGGAGGUGUCAUGAGAGUAGGUCAAAGACAGGAGAAAAGAGAAAAGAGUGAGGAAAUUUUAGAAUAACCGUUCUGCUGCAGUUUCCAGGGAAGACAGCCGUAUUUUCAGCAAUGAAAAGGUUAAUUAAUUCUCUUGACAACUUCUCCCCCUCCUUACAGAAGUCUAUCUCAGAAAUAAUCAAAGUAUUAAAUGAAUAUUGCACUAGUCCAAAUAAGUACAAUCAUCUUCCAGGAGUAUUUACAUGUUGGGCUAUAAUUAGCAGCCUCCUUGGCACCAGCCCACAUGAGUUGACAGGUCACCGUUUCCAUUACAUACUACAUUUUUCCGUAUCAUUGCUCAGUCUUGAGUGAUUAUGAAAUGAAUGAUUUCAUGAGUUAACCAGACUCAGCAAAGAUGAGGGAUUGAGUGAGACAUGGUGGAGACCAGAAGAGGAGCAAGUGAUUUUUCUCACCAGGAACUUCCUGAGAAUCAUCAACACCUCAGUUAAGUGACUACCUCCGAAACUGUGCUUUUUUAAAGUAUGGUUUUCAAGUAGUCUGAGAAGUGGAAUUUCAAGAUUUUUGUGAUUCCUAGUGAUGAUGAAACAUUUCUUCCCUAACUAAGCUUCUUCCUCCUAUUGAGGUAGAGGGCAGGGCUAUGUCCAAACUAGUAGAAGAUAUCUCACGUGGUACUUAAAAACUCAAAGAUGUUCUUGAAUGCCUUUUCUUCCUAGACCUUGCUGUUAGCUGCUCAGAUAUGACAGGACAUCUAAGGAAGCACAGUGAAGCUUCAGACCAAAAAUGAACAGCCUGUGAAGGAAAGUUACUUAGGAUCAGAGACGCAGGAGGAUGAGUCCUUAGAACUGGUUUCCCCCACUGCAUUUGCUGAGACUUUCCAGUUGUCCCCCACGCAUUGCAGCCAUGUCCCAUACAUUCCAGUCAGACAACGGCUGGACUAUGCUAAUGCUGCAACUGAGAUGAAGCCUUACACAACUUUAAUACCAACACCCCCCUUGGCCUGACCCCAUAAAAUGAGGCUUAAUUAACUUAAAUAAACAACUUAAAUUAACUUAAUUAAAUUCUGCAACUAUAGUCAAGACCAGCUUCACAAAUUCACAAUAUUGUUUUUUUCCCCUCAGGAAAGACAUCACAAGCUUUACAGUGAAACUGGGUUAGGAUUUUAUUUAUCUUUUCAAUAAUCUAUUGCUUUUUUUUUAAUAUUUCUGGCUUUCUCCCUUAUUUAAAGGAAACUGUUGCUAUAGAUAAUCUAUACAUAUUCAAAGAAGUAACUAACAGCUUUUAUGAAAAUGCCUUGUUACAGAUUGAAAAGCAGUGCAAGUCAUUAGAAUAAAGUCAAAAUUUUCAGUGAGGAAGUGAGAUAAAUGGACAUUUCCCUGUGGAAAGGGAUCUUUUUCCUGUCAGAAAAUGCUAAUUCAUCUAAUUUGAAAUGUUCCACAGAAAGAUGACAACACAGUUGAUCACAAAUUCUUGUGAAACAAACCAGCAAACAAACAAACAAAAACCGUGAUAAAAAAAACCAUUUCAACUUGAAAGGUUCAAUUUCGAUCAUCUUUAAUGUCACACUUCAAACGACUUUCUCUUAAUUAUGCUAAUGUCAAAUUUAAUUGUAUAAUAAAAAACGAAAUGUAGAAAGGAAUAAUUUUCUUUCACCUAAGUCCAACACUUGAAUCAAAAUGAAAGUAAUUUGUUUUCCUAACUUAAUUCAGAAUUACUCGGCAUUUCUGUUUCAUUGCAUUCUGCAACAGAAGAAUGUUUACAUCACGAAAGUCCCACUCUCAAGUGAAAAUAUUCAUCUGCUACAUAGCUCCUGGAAGCAAGGAUAACACCUAAAAGAUUUCUUGUGAAAGCAUGAGAUCGUUGCCUUGCCUCUAGAUGCACCCAACUGGCAUUUGAUUGGUUUGUGAUGUUGGAAUAAAAGAUAGGGGAAAUGAAGGUUUGAUGAUGGAAUAACAUGGAGUAUAGAAACACAGGCUUUAUUACUAUUUUUGUUAUUUUACUGAACAAUGUUACUCAUAAAUGUUCAAAAUAGAUGUAUGCAUAAAUCUAGAAAAAAUAACAAUGAGGACAUUCUCACCUUUUCUCUUUCAAAACUGUUACCAUCCUUACUUUGUCAUUCAGAUAUGCAGGUUGCCUAUUUGCAAGAGCAGCUGGGUGGGCAGAGGGCCAGUGAGGUGGGCACCCACACCAGAGUCCUCCGGUCUCCCUGGAUGGCUUUUUACCUUCUAGCUGGAAAAUCAGCCCUACAUAAUAUAAGGGUUUUGCAGAAAUGAUGGCUCUUGGUUUGGUACCAUGUUGACUCCUCAUUUAACUGGGUUUCUGCUUGGAUGUGAGCUCCAAAAACUCCUAUUCUGCAUUCCUUCUCACUAGCCCCCUCAGAAGAAGAUCCAUGCUGCAGUUUUGGUGGGAUUGUAAAAGUGGUAUUGAAGGGGGAGGAGGGAAAUGAAAGAUAAAGCAUUUAAGAUGCACACAGAUUUCAAGCUGAUGUCCUGCCUGGCUGCUGUGAGGAGAAAGGAACAUUAAUGCUGGCCCACACCUACAGGCUCUCCUGCAGUUGCAACUGGACAAAGAUGCCAAGAAGGAGAAGUGCCUCCUUCAGCCAGGAGAAAGCAAUGAGUAGCUAGGUGCUGCAACAGAGACAAUACCAGGUAACCUGCAUGUCUGAGCACAACUAAACAAAGCUCCCUGAAUUUCAGCUAUCCAAUGCCAGUACAAACUGCUUUGUAAAUAAGCUUCAGAUCAAGAAUUUCUCCAGGAAUAACUCUCUGGCAAACCAUUAUCCAAGCAUGCCAGAGAGGCAGGAUUUGAUGGCCAAGAUUAUGCACGCAGGAGCUCAUCAACCUCAGGGGAGAUGAGAAAGCUAGGAAGAUCAAAGGACUGUCUGAGUCACCAGCUCAUCCACUUGGUUCUUGCCCCCAAGGAUGAGGAUGGAGAGAGGGUGAAGGGGACUUGCUGGGAACUCCUUCUCAACCUCCUCUCCUGCAGGGGUCUUUCAUCAGCCUAAAUGGAUCACCUACCUCUGCCCUGCUGAGAUGAAGCCCACUGAACCAGGUCAAGCUCUGCUCCCCACUGCAGCAGGUGCUCCUGUGGUGUUUCAGGGGAACAGUAAAACUGGAUCAUUUCAAGUACACUCCCACACAAAUGCUCAGCUAGGCUGAGUCACCAGGAGCAGGCUGGUAAUCUCAGCAGGGUCUCAUGCCUGGCUGCAGUGCCAGUACAGCCCUGAGGGGAGCACACAUUAUCUCCAGAGAAGAGCUCCUGGAGGGUAUACUGUAGGAAAAAAACACUUUUGACUCAUUUUAUGAGGAACUUGUGCAUAGAAAGCCCUACUUGACUUUGGAAAUACCUGAUUGCAUGUGUAAUGUUGGUACAGUGUUGCAUAAAGCUUUCUCUAACAUGAUUGCAGGAUGGUUGUAUUACAUGCAAACAAAACCACUCUGUGGAUAUUAUACGAUAUGGAUAUUAUAUAUUUUCUGUGGAAAAACAAUUCCAGGACUGAUCUAGGUGGCUUUAACACAUUUUUUGGAACUGUUUUCAAAAAGACCCUCACUUGUUGCAGCCAGCUGUGUUAGUUUCUGUGAGGACAAACAUACAGGGUUUUGAGAAUAUCAUGCAUAUCGAUAAUUGAAUUAUUUUCUGAUCCUACAGACAUUGCAGUUUUAAAGCCCUUGAGGAUCUGCUCUUCCUGGGCUGGACACAACUGCUGAUUCCUCUUGCAGUGCUGGGCACAACCCCUUUCUGAUGGAAGUCAGCUCCCCUUUUCAGCUGCAGUGACAGAAUUGAAAAUGUGCCCAACAGGAAAGCUGGAGCGGGUUUGGUAUUGACUCUGUCUCCCCUUGGCACUCUUGCUAGGGUAAAUUUGCAACUGAAAUUCCAGAUUUGGCAAGAAAAAGAAGAACCAUUUUCCUGGCAGCCCUCCCUAGGUACUCAGGAGAGUAGAUGGGGGGUGGUAGCCACAGAACAGAUGGCAGCGUGGGUUGAAGGUAGGUAAAGUGGUCAAAGAUGUGCAAUAAAUAGAUUUAACAAAUAUGUUACACCACAACAUGUGUGACACAUGCAUGUAGUUUGCCACGAAGAGCAGGAUGCCAGGGUGAUACCUCACUUACGCAAAUGACUGGGUAUUUGUGCUGUAUGGAUGAGCACAGCCCUUCUGUCUUCACAUUAUUAUGUUUUUCAAGAGCGAUAUUUUAAAGAAAGAGAAAGGCAGCAAAGUUGAUAGCAACCUUUGAGAAACCAGCUUAUGCAAAGAGCCUCAGCCAAUGUAGUCUGAGAUGGGGAUAAGGCUGAAAAGAGAGAUGAAUGUCCAUAAAUAUCGAAACUGUGUCAUGAUGUAGAGUGGGUGUUGAUGCAAAGUGCAACAGAAUCAAGACAAUACAUAAAAAAUA